CACCGCCCGUCGCACCAUGGGAGUUGGUUUCACCCGAAGGCAGUGCGCUAACCGCAAGGAGGCAGCUGACCACGGUGGGAUCAGCGACUGGGGUG
rnacentral:rRNA from 1 species